UACGUAGGUGGCGAGCGUUGUCCGGAUUUACUGGGCGUAAAGAGCGCGCAGGCGGUCGUUCAAGUCGCGUGUGAAAGCCCCCGGCUCAACUGGGGAGGGUCACGCGAUACUGAUCGACUCGAAGGCAGGAGAGGGUAGUGGAAUUCCCGGUGUAGUGGUGAAAUGCGUAGAUAUCGGGAGGAAUACCGGUGGCGAAAGCGACUCUCUGGACGGCAACUGACGCUGAGGCACGAAAGCGUGGGGAGCAAACAGG
rnacentral:rRNA from 1 species